CCAGAAGCCGCGCCCUCCCUGAGCCCCGCCCCAGAAUCCCCGCCCUCCCCUGAGUCCCCGCCCUCCCCUGAGUCCCCGCCGGGGUCUGGACCUCCUUGCUUUCCUGGCCGUUCUCUACCCUUCCUCCCCUGGCUUUGCUUACCCUUCGGUAUGGACCCUCCCCCAGCACACAUUGGGUCCUCGAGAAAAGAGCUAAAGUGACGCACAACGAAACGGAAGCACACUUGCAGAAAAAGUGCCACCGCCCCGGGUUUUGAUAGUUAGAGUAGUUAGAGGGCGGCGUGCUUCCAACAGGAGCGGCUUCGGGCUUCACUGGCUUCACAGCACAGCUCUGCUGCUGGUGCCGGUCUUUCCUGAGAGCGGCUCCCCCGGCUAUUUUAAUCACAGCAUGCAUCUCAUCGUGGAACCAGACGCCUCCUGAGCCCACGGACGGAGGGGUCGGGUUUGCCGCGUGCCCAGCUCGGUGUGGUAGGCACGGCGCACGCUGUGAACCCCUGCAGAGCAAGCAGCAGGCUUGGAACGCAGCUCUCUGCUUGGCCACCCGCUGGGUGACCUCGGGGCCUUCACACCCUGCACCUAAGGCACAGUUCUUCCUGUAACAAAUACAUGCGAUUCUGCCCGCGUGGCAGGGUCGUGUGAGGUUAAACGAAGUCGGUGUGGCCCACGCAUGGAUGCUGUUCAGUUCCCUUUUCCGCUGUGCGCCCCACCCGCCCACAGAAGCCAGGGAUCCUCUCGAGGAGGAGGAGCUGGUGGCCCGGGAGAGGUGUGACGGGAGGAGGGCCCUGAGUCCUGGCUCCUCCUUUUCCACACCCCCCAGGAAGCUGAAGGAGCAACCACCCUCUAAGCGCCAGGCACUGUCCGGGAUGCAAGAAGUGACUCUGGUGACGGAGACCCUGGAGAGGGAUCAGCGGGAAACCCUGAAGGAAGGCCGCGGUCUGACAUCCGGAGCCGGUUCUUUGGAUGCCUUUUCAGCUGCAAACGGAAGGAAGGUCCUCGAGUUUGGAGGUUUCCAGAAGCGUGAAGGAGAAGGUGCAGGACACGGUGAGAAGCCUCCGGGGCCUGAAUAA
rnacentral:lncRNA from 1 species